CAAAUGAAUUGACGGGGCCGCACAGCGGUGGAGCAUGUGGUUUAAUUCGACGCAACGCGAAGAACCUUACCAGGGUUUGACAUCCCUGACGGCCGUGGAAACACAGAAUUCUAUUUUCGGAUAGACAGGGAGACAGGUGGUGCAUGGUUGUCGUCAGCUCGUGUCGUGAGAUGUUGGGUUAAGUCCCGCAACGAGCGCAACCCCUACGUUUAGUUGCUAACGGGUGGAGCCGAGCACUCUGGACGAACUGCCGUUGACAAAACGGAGGAAGGUGGGAUGACGUCAAAUCAUCAUGCCCCUUAUGUCCUGGGCCACACACGUGCUACAAUGGCCGGUACAGAGGGAAGCGAAGCCGUGAGGCGGAGCAAAUCCCAAGAAGCCGGUCUCAGUUCGGAUUGCAGGCUGCAACCCGCCUGCAUGAAGUCGGAAUCGCUAGUAAUCGCAGGUCAGCAUACUGCGGUCGAAUACGUUCCCGGGCCUU
rnacentral:rRNA from 1 species